CCUCUAACUAUUUUUAGAAUCGGUAGGACAACAAAGAAGUGCCUUUAAGCAAAAUAGUCCCUAUACUUGCAGAGUGUAUAUACAUUUAUUGGGACAUUUUAAAUCAGAAUGUUUGACACAUGUCAGAAAAGAGGAUUUGCAAUUUUUAAAACAAGUGUCAAAAUUGAAUUAUCAUUUGAAGAAAAGAAUUGAAAUUGUUUGAUGUACAUUCUUUCCAAAACUGAGAAAUUCCCUACUUUUACUUUCAUUUUCAGAGUUUUUCAAUACAGACGCAUUUUGCCGGAAAACAAAUCUGACUUCAAACCACGAAAUUUUAACAGGAAAGAGACAAUUUGAUGAGCUUUCAUUCAAGAGGUCCCUCGUUGCUGAACGAAAAUUAGGGCCGGAGCUAUGAACCCUAACGUUAACAUUACCGCCUAUGGAAAAUGCAUUAGUGGACUAUACCCAUAUUGAGCUCCAUGCUGUGCGAUCAUUUCAAGCGAGCAAAAGUGAAAGUAGAAAAGCAGAAAGUUUCCGGUGAGGAAAAAUACUUCAUUCUAGCAGUGUCCAGCUAUCUAAGAUUAGUUUGCAUUGUAAGGGAAUUGUAUUAGUGUCCGAUAACAUGUAAAUUGAAAUGGAAGUCUUCUUCAAAGAAUAAAACACAACAAUGAGCCACACUUGAUAGUUUUUCAAUACAGACGCAUUUUGCCGGAAAACAAAUCUGACUUCAAACCACGAAAUUUUAACAGGAAAGAGACAAUUUGAUGAGCUUUCAUUCAAGAGGUCCCUCGUUGCUGAACGAAAAUUAGGGCCGGAGCUAUGAACCCUAACGUUAACAUUACCGCCUAUGGAAAAUGCAUUAGUGGACUAUAC